rnacentral:rRNA from 1 species
AAUGAACGUUGGCGGCGUGGAUUAGGCAUGCAAGUCGAGCGCGAACCGUAGCAAUACGGGGAGAGCGGCGAAAGGGAGAGUAAUACGUGGAUACCUGCCCUCGGGUUCGGGAUAGCUACAGGAAACUGUAGGUAAUACCGAAUAACAUCUUCGGAUCAAAGGUGUGAUUCCGCCCGGGGAGGGGUCCGCGUCCUAUUAGCUAGUUGGUGAGGUAACGGCCCACCAAGGCGAAGAUGGGUAUGGGGUGUGAGAGCAUGACCCCACUCACUGGGACUGAGACACUGCCCAGACACCUACGGGUGGCUGCAGUCGAGAAUCUUCGGCAAUGGGGGAAACCCUGACCGAGCGACGCCGCGUGCGAGAUGAAGGCCUUCGGGUUGUAAAUCGCUGUCAGAGGGGAGGAAAUGCCGGCAAGUAAUUCAUAAUCAACUCGAUUUGACCUAGCCUCAGAGGAAGGACGGGCUAAGUCCGUGCCAGCCGCCGCCGUAA